CGAAGAACCUUACCUGGUCUUGACACUCCCGGAGACCCUUAGGAAACGUAGGGGGUGCUUCCAUCUGGAAGAAUCUGGAGACAGGUGCUGCAUGGCUGUCGUCAGCUCGUGUCGUGAGAUGGUUUGGGUUAAGUCCCGCAACGAGCGCAACCCUUGCCUUUAGUUGCCAGCAGUUCGGCUGGGCACUCUAAAGGGACUGCCGGUGUUAAACCGGAGGAAGGUGGGGAUGACGUCAAGUCCUCAUGGCCUUUAUGACCAGGGCUACACACGUACUACAAUGGCCGAUACAAAGGGCAGCGACACUGCGAGGUGAAGCCAAUCCCGUAAAAUCGGUCUCAGUCCGGAUUGGAGUCUGCAACUCGACUCCAUGAAGUUGGAAUCGCUAGUAAUCGUGGAUCAGCAUGCCACGGUGAAUACGUUCCCGGGCCUU
rnacentral:rRNA from 1 species